GUGGGGAAAGCGGCCGGAGGAGGAGGAGGAGGAGGAGGAGGAGGGGAGAGAAGGGGGGAUAAAGGCUGCAGAUCUGCCCCCCCAGCUGGGACCUGGGGUGUGUGAGGCUCUUGUGGAGGUUUGUGCCACCUCCCAUUCCGUGUGCUGGAGGUCAGCCCCUGGCAAUCUGGAGCCGGUCACCUUGGUGUGGUCACAGCCCUGCUCCACUGCCCUUGGCGGAGGGGUAGGAAUUGGUCCUUAAUCCAUCUGAUGGAGGAGAGUGAGCUGCAGCACGACCGCCCUCAGCUCGCGUCCUUGGGAGUCCUUCUCUGGGUGGCAGCACAGCGCCUGCCUGAGCGGUCUGCUGGGUUGUAUGUAGUAUGUGGGUGCUGCUGAGCUCCUAAGAGAGAAGGAUCCUGGAUCCGUCCUGUGCUGAAAUGUGGACGCAACCGUUUGUGAAGCAUCUCCAAGACUGAAAGCACAAGAGGGCUUUCAAAGGACCUGUACAAGCAGACAAAUAUUUGCAGCAGCUCAAGUCUGCCUUUGACUGAGGUGUGAGAAACAACUGCAGUGCCAAACUCCUGAAUGUGGUGCAAGCACCCAGGGAGGAACAGGCUGCACCAGCUCACGCAAUGUAGCUUGCGAUGAAUGCACCGAGAGUGUCAGCAGCGGUUAUUGCAUCUCGGCAGAGUGAUGGUAACCUGAUUACUGGCAGCCUCUGCCCCGGGGUCAUUAAACACCAGGGAAAAGCAACUAGAGUCUCAUAAAGCUUUCUGGAGAGAUUUGGAUCAAAAUCUAAGCUCUGAGUGUCCUUGGGCUGUGAGAUGUCUGUUCCCAUGUCCAUGCUCCUCCACCUGCCUUGCGGGAUGGUUUGGAGGAGUCUGUGUGGGAAGUCCAGGCUGGACCCCAAUGGUUAAAUCUCACUGCUGAAAUGCAGGCUUCAGAACGGGGCUGCUCACCCAGGAUGGUGCAGACAGGGGUUAAAUCCUGCUUCAGGCCUGGGGAGUUUGAUUCCCUCCCUGCUUUACUACCUGCUCUUGUCUGCCUUUCCCACAGGGAGCCUGGUCAGUCUGCGCCUCGCAGACUGGGGGCACCUGGAAGUGCCUGAGCAGCAGGGGAACUGCUGGAGGAAAGCAAAUGGCAGGCUCCGCGUGAGGAAGUCUGGGAGGGAAGACAGCAAUGGAGAGUCACUGCGAGAGAGCAGAGGAGCGUUUCUCCCUUUUCUGCUGGAAGCCAUCAGGCAAUGCUGCUGCUUCCACUAAACCCACCCAAAGGAGUCAGGCAAAUGUCUAAGAAAUGCACAAACCGAAACAGUCGGGGUGAGGGGAGGGAGGGGUAGAGCUCAGUGCUGGAGUUAACGGCCUGUGAACAGAACUGGUGGCACGGGCCAUGGGCAGAGCCUGAAGGGCAAAUCACACCUGCAGGGAAGAUGAACGAGCGUUUGCCUGCGAUGAACAAGGGCAGGAGGAUGGGGCAGGGCGCUGCCAUGGGGCUGAAAGGGUUAAAUAGUUUCUUGGCUUUUUCACUCAUUUGUGUGCCUCUCCUGGCAGCACUUAGGUGUAAUAAAUCCACAUGUGUGUGUGUGCACACCCAGUGCCCUUCCCUGAGGG